AUUAAUCGAACACAAGAAUUACUGUACAGUCAUGGUAAAUUAUCUGCCCUAUAAAAGUAUUGGCUGAUAUUGUAACGAUAUCAUUGGCUACAGAAUGAGGUUCUUGGUACUACUUUCUGCGCUCUUUGCGCUCCUGUGCGCCGUAAUGGGUGAUUUCGAAGAUCGUAAAAGUCACCUCGACUUUACAGCGAAAUAUGCCGAACUUGCUUCUCCACUCCCAGCCCAUGUCAACGUCGACGAAUUGGUUGCUUCUCUUCGAGCAGCCAGCAACUUACAUUAGCUACAAUUAAACAAAUAUUUAACUCAUUUUUAAUGGACCAACUAUUUAACUCAAAAUGAAGUAUGUAUGACUUCAAAUUAUAACAAGCCGAGUUUGAUAAAUUUGAUUGUAGAUUGUAGAUGUUGCAAUAGCCCAUAUAUCCCACUAAUUAAUAUUAAUUUAUGUUCAACAAUUAAAAGUAACUAUAUUUUAUAAUAAAGUAAUAAAGCGUGCUUUUAUCUAAAAAA